rnacentral:rRNA from 1 species
CCUACGGUGAGCAGCAGUGGGGAAUAUUGGACAAUGGGCGAAAGCCUGAUCCAGCCAUGCCGCGUGUGUGAAGAAGGCCUUCGGGUUGUAAAGCACUUUCAGUGGGGAAGAAAGCCUUGGGGCUAAUACCCUCGAGGAAGGACAUCACCCACAGAAGAAGCACCGGCUAACUCCGUGCCAGCAGCCGCGGUAAUACGGAGGGUGCGAGCGUUAAUCGGAAUUACUGGGCGUAAAGCGCGCGUAGGCGGUCUGAUAAGCCGGUUGUGAAAGCCCCGGGCUCAACCUGGGAACGGCAUCCGGAACUGUCAGGCUAGAGUGCAGGAGAGGAAGGUAGAAUUCCCGGUGUAGCGGUGAAAUGCGUAGAGAUCGGGAGGAAUACCAGUGGCGAAGGCGGCCUUCUGGACUGACACUGACGCUGAGGUGCGAAAGCGUGGGUAGCAAACAGGAUUAGAUACCCCGGUAGUC